rnacentral:rRNA from 1 species
GAUGAACGCUGGCGGCGUGCUUAACACAUGCAAGUCGAACGGUGAAAGAGAGCUUGCUCUCUGGAUCAGUGGCGAACGGGUGAGUAACACGUGAGCAAUCUGCCCCUGACUCUGGGAUAAGCGCUGGAAACGGCGUCUAAUACCGGAUACGAGCUGCGAAGGCAUCUUCAGCAGCUGGAAAGAACUUCGGUCAGGGAUGAGCUCGCGGCCUAUCAGCUAGUUGGUGAGGUAACGGCUCACCAAGGCGUCGACGGGUAGCCGGCCUGAGAGGGUGACCGGCCACACUGGGACUGAGACACGGCCAGACUCCUACGGGAGGCAGCAGUGGGGAAUAUUGCACAAUGGGCGAAAGCCUGAUGCAGCAACGCCGCGUGAGGGACGACGGCCUUCGGGUUGUAAACCUCUUUUAGCAGGGAAGAAGCGAAAGUGACGGUACCUGCAGAAAAAGCACCGGCUAACUACGUG